ensembl:processed_transcript Gm16551 uncharacterized LOC115064818
GGGAGGGCAAGGGAUGAUUUAUACGGGAGAGCUGGGAUUGAGGACUUAAAAUUAAGCUCUUCGUUUACUCGUUUCUCAUUUAAAAUUAUGCCUCAUUGGAAAUUAUGCAAAUUGACUUGGGUUUCCCUUGCUCCUAGGAGGCAAAGCUGAAAGCUUGUCGCGUGUCAGAAGCAACCUGCCGUGAAAUCCGCUAAUGCGCCCCGACUCGCCCUUCGCGCAUGUAGCCACAGCAAAUUAUUGCUCAUUUGAUACCCAGAAUUCUAUUGACCAUGGCUUUUGUCGGAGAGAGAAUUCUAACUACUGCUGCUCUGGGCUCAGAGCUGAGGCUGGAAACAAGUAAAUCUAGCAAGAAUAGAUGGAGAGGUGCUGGUGACUGGAGCCACGUGGCCUUGCAUAGAAACCUGCCUUUUACUCUGCCUGCCUUGCUCCAGUUCAGGAAAAAGGUCGGCCCCUUUGGAACAGAUUUGCUUACUUGGAAGGCUGGGUAUUCAUUUGGCAAGUUCUUUCCAGCUCUAGCCAGGCUAGGGGAGAAAAUGAGACAAUGGAAGAUUGCUCCACAGGCUUUUGGUCAAAGCUAACCCAAGGCAGGAAAUACUUGAAGAUCACGUCCUAAAUUUCAACCC